AUGCUGUAUAUAAGUAACAGUGUCAUGUACGUAGUCGGCCAUGAUAUAUCACUCAUCAUGCUAUAUAUAAGUAACAGUGUCAUGUACGUAGUCGGCCAUGAUAGUUUAGUAUUGGUACAAUUGAUAUAUAAUCUAAGUCGACUAGUAUGUAAUCAAUUGCCGAGAUUGAUUUUAGUGUGUAACUGUGUAGUACUAUUACUGCAACAUAUCCAUAUACAUAAAUAUAUGUUGAAGUCUUCUUUCUUUUGA